AGGAUAAACGCUGGCGGCGUGCCUAACACAUGCAAGUCGAACGUCUCUUUCUUCGGGAAGAGGAGUGGCGGACGGGUGAGGAACACGUGGGAACCUGCCCUACAGUGAGGAAUACCGGCGAGAAAUCGCCGACAAGACCGCAUAGCCCUCUCUGGUGAGAGCCAGAGAAGGAAAGCUUCGCAAGAGGCGCUGGAGGAGGGGCCUGCGUCCGAUUAGCUAGUUGGUGGGGUAAGAGCCUACCAAGGCGUCGAUCGGUAGCUGGUCUGAGAGGACGAUCAGCCACACUGGGAUUGAGAACGGCCCAGACUCCUACGGGGGGCAGCAGUGAGGAAUUUUCGGCAAUGGGGGAAACCCUGACCGAGCAACGCCGCGUGCAGGAAGACGGCCUUCGGUUGUAAACUGCUUUCUUUGGACGAGCAAGGACGGUACCAGAGGAAUCAGCCCGGCUCACUACGUGCCAGCAGCCGC
rnacentral:rRNA from 1 species